ACGACAAAGAGAAAGAAAAGGAAAGAAAGGAAAGAAGAAGAAGGACGAUGGCCAGAAUUUUUGGAGUUCUCCGGUGACGGUGAACGUUGGCAAGGGAAAAAGAGAGAUGGUAACUUGGAAAACUAGGAAUUAAAGAGAAAAAGGGAGAAAGAAAGUGAAUAAAAGCAGAAAUAGGGGAUGAUCAAGGCAGCAAAUUCUUCACUCUUCUAGAUAAGUUUGGUGACGGGUGGAUGUUAUUUUGAAGUUAAUCUGCUUUCUUUCUCAUGGGGAAACUUAAUCCAUUGAUGUAUUAACUAUAUUUAUUUUUGUUAUAUCUAGAAUUUCGCAGUAACUAUAUUAGUUUUUCUUAUGAUGUAAAACUAACUUGUUAAAAUUAUUAUGUAUGUGGAAUGUUAGACUUAGUGUGAGCUGAGCUCUCCAUUGUGA